UGGGGAAUAUUGCACAAUGGGCGCAAGCCUGAUGCAGCCAUGCCGCGUGUAUGAAGAAGGCCUUCGGGUUGUAAAGUACUUUCAGCGGGGAGGAAGGGAGUAAAGUUAAUACCUUUGCUCAUUGACGUUACCCGCAGAAGAAGCACCGGCUAACUCCGUGCCAGCAGCCGCGGUAAUACGGAGGGUGCAAGCGUUAAUCGGAAUUACUGGGCGUAAAGCGCACGCAGGCGGUUUGUUAAGUCAGAUGUGAAAUCCCCGGGCUCAACCUGGGAACUGAAUCUGUUACUGGCAAGCUUGAGUCUCGUAGAGGGGGGUAGAAUUCCAGGUGUAGCGGUGAAAUGCGUAGAGAUCUGGAGGAAUACCGGUGGCGAAGGCGGCCCCCUGGACGAAGACUGACGCUCAGGUGCGAAAGCGUGGGGAGCAAACAGG
rnacentral:rRNA from 1 species